rnacentral:rRNA from 1 species
AUUGAACGCUGGCGGCAGGCCUAACACAUGCAAGUCGAACGAGUGGCGGACGGGUGAGUAAUGUCUGGGAAACUGCCUGAUGGAGGGGGAUAACUACUGGAAACGGUAGCUAAUACCGCAUACCAUCGGAUGUGCCCAGAUGGGAUUAGCUAGUAGGUGGGGUAAAGGCUCACCUAGGCGACGAUCCCUAGCUGGUAGGAGAGGAUGAACAGCCACACGCGGACUGAGACACGGUGCAGACUCCUACGGGAGGCAGCAGUGGUGAAUAUUGCACAAUUGGCGCAAGCCUGAUGCAGCCAUGCCGCGUGUAUGAAGAAGGCCUUCGGGUUUUAAAGUACUUUCAGCGGGGAGGCGUUACCCUCAGAAGAAGCACAGGCUAACUCCGUGCCAGCAGCCGCGGUAAUAC